UACGGGGGGGGCAAGCGUUGUUCGGAAUUACUGGGCGUAAAGGGUUUGUAGGGGGCUUAUUAAGUCAGACGUGAAAUCCCUCAGCUUAACUGGGGAACUGCGUCUGAUACUGGUUGGCUCGAGUGCAGGAGAGGAACGCGGAAUUCCAGGUGUAGCGGUGAAAUGCGUAGAUAUCUGGAGGAACACCGGUGGCGAAGGCGGCGUUCUGGACUGCAACUGACACUGAAAAACGAAAGCCAGGGGAGCAAACGGG
rnacentral:rRNA from 1 species